rnacentral:rRNA from 1 species
CCUACGGGUGGCAGCAGGGAGGAAUAUUGGUCAAUGGACGAGAGUCUGAACCAGCCAAGUAGCGUGAAGGAUGACUGCCCUAUGGGUUGUAAACUUCUUUUAUAUGGGAAUAAAAUGUUCCACGUGUGGGAUUUUGUAUGUACAAUAUGAAUAAGGAUCGGCGAACUCCGGGCCAGCAGCCGCGGUAAUACGGAGGAUCCGAGCGUUAUCCGGAUUUAUUGGGUUUAAAGGGAGCGUAGGUGGAUUGUUAAGUCAGUUGUGAAAGUUUGCGGCUCAACCGUAAAAUUGCAGUUGAAACUGGCAGUCUUGAGUACAGUAGAGGUGGGCGGAAUUCGUGGUGUAGCGGUGAAAUGCUUAGAUAUCACGAAGAACUCCGAUUGCGAAGGCAGUUCACUGGACUGCAACUGACACUGAGGCUCGAAAGUGUGGGUAUCAAACAGGAUUAGAUACCCGUGUAGUC